UACAGAGGUCUCAAGCGUUGUUCGGAUUCACUGGGCGUAAAGGGUGCGUAGGUGGUUCUGCAAGUCUGAUGUGAAAUCUCCGGGCUUAACCCGGAAAUGGCAUUGGAAACUGCAGGGCUAGAGUGUUGGAGGGGGGACUGGAAUUCUCGGUGUAGCAGUGAAAUGCGUAGAUAUCGAGAGGAACACCAGUGGCGAAGGCGAGUCCCUAGACAACUACUGACACUGAGGCACGAAAGCUAGGGGAGCAAACAGG
rnacentral:rRNA from 1 species